UCGCUACUGUGAUAGCACCUGCCAGAACCAGAGCUGGCCUCUGGUGAUUAUGGGGGAAUCAUUAUCGCUCUCUCCCCCAAAAACUCAUUUUAUACCUGCCAACAUCUGAGGGGAGGAGGGGAGGAGGGCACAGGAGCGGAGGCUUCUACUGUAUAACAGGUAGCACAGAGUGUGUGUUGGUGUGUGUGUGUGUGUGUUUGUCUCUGUUAGGUUAUUAUAGUUGAGGUAUAUACUGUACUGUAGGCAAAACCACAAGCUCGCUCUGCCAUGAGAUAUAAACGUAAUAAAAGAUUAUGUAAACAUUAUUAGAUGAUGAUGAUGGAUCACCUGUGUUAACCUCUCACAUAUGUACGAUAACCUUAGGCAAAUGGAUGGAAAACAUAAUAUGGACAUAAACUAGAUUCUCAUCCCAGGUAACGUCUUCUGGAUACUACAUAUAUACUGUAUUUACUCCUUUUAAUGACUUUAAAUGCACCUCAUUCCUGUCACAGCACACAGUCAAGUGAGGGGGCGACUGUCAAUCUCAGUAACACAAACUAUUUUUGCUGCGUUUCUGACUUAUUCUGUUUUCCUCUUCUAUACAGUAUGUUCCUGAACAAUCACGCUUUCCAGCAACAUCCACACAUGCUCUCACAUCGGUUCAGCAUUAACUGGAGACCAUCCAUCAGCACUGAUUAUGGGCCACAGCACAUGCAGGCAGAGGGAUCUUGAGAACAAGGUAAA
rnacentral:lncRNA from 1 species